rnacentral:tRNA from 1 species
GGCGAAGUGCCAGAGUGGUGAUUGGGUAUGACUCGAAAUCAUAUGGCUUCGGCCGCGCAAGUUCGAAUCUUGUCUUCGUCG